rnacentral:rRNA from 1 species
UACGGGGGGUGCAAGCGUUGUUCGGAUUUACUGGGCGUAAAGGGUGCGUAGGCGGCGCAAUAAGUCACUUGUGAAAUCUCCGGGCUUAACCCGGAGCGGCCAAGUGAUACUGUCGUGCUAGAGUGCGGAAGGGGCUACUGGAAUUCUCGGUGUAGCGGUGAAAUGCGUAGAGAUCGAGAGGAACACCUGCGGCGAAGGCGGGUAGCUGGGCCGACACUGACGCUGAUGCGCGAAAGCCAGGGGAGCGAACGGG